GAUGACCUGACACCACUUUUAGUUGCUGUAAAUGAAAACAAAGAGCAAAUGGUGAAAUUUUUAGUAGGAAAAGGAGCAAAUAUACUUGCAGUUGAUAAGGUUAAAAGCAGUCACCAACUAAUUUCUGAACAUAAAGAAGAAAUGAAACCUGAAAAUUCUUCACAAAGUCACAAUCUAGUGGAUAAGAAUUCUGAAGAAGACUCUUUAAGCAGGUAGGAUUUUUAUGGAUUUUUAAAAAUUAUGUGUUAACUAAGGGAGUGCAGAGAAAAGCAUUUGUUGAGUGUUCUCUUCUGGGCUAGACACUAUAUUAUGUGCUUAAUAUGUGUUAUAUAGUCAUUGCAAUAGUUUCACCAAGUAGCUGUGCUGUUAUAGCCUACUUUUUAUUAACUAGUCAGCUGUGGUUCAGGGAGGUGGAUUAAUUGACCCAGGAUUCCAUAGUUAAUGAGUAGCAGACCCAUGAUUUGACUGUUAGCCUGUGUGGCUCCCACAUCCAUUCCUUUGUCCUCAGCAGCACUGGAAUUAGGAUACAGAUCUUAGAUCAACUCAGAAAGUCGAAUUUCACUAUGUGUUAACUCUGAUUUAGAGUUUUCCUAAGAACCAGGCUAGUCCAAGCAUUUUCCUAAUAUAUUGGACACAACUAGUAAUAACUAGAGGUAAUUAUUGCAGUGGUAACUAGUUUCUUGUUUUUACUGUCAAAGAUUUUGGAGUGGAUCUCAGUUACCUAUGGCCACAGUAAGCAAGCCCUUUUACAUAAGCAAGCCCUAGUGUGGCGAGUUCUUAGAUUUAGUGCCGUCUGCUCCCUUGAGAUGAAUGAUUUUUCUGAGAGUGAAGGAUACGUAAUCUAGGUAUAGACCAUGUUACAUUAAUUAAAUGUAUCAUCUAUUUAACAGAUGUUUCUAAGCAAUUGUCUAUUUACUGACUUCUCAGUCUAAUUUCCCCCUUUAGGCUGGCACAUUUGAUAAAUUCUGUGAAGCUUUUUCUUUCUUUCUUUCUUUCUUUCUUUCUUUCUUUUUUUUUUUUUUUUUUUUUUGUAGAAUUUUUUCUUUUUCUCCAUGACUUUUCUAUAGGCUUUACUUGAUUUUUUUGUUAAUUUUCUUCUCCAAUUUUCUUGGUGUUUAUUUUAUUCCAUUACUUUUUUCCAUUUCUGCCAGCUAAGUAUUCUGCAUUUUUCUACAGACAAAAAGAAAAGCAGAUAGAAUUUCAGGGUUUUAAAUAAUUUAUUUAUU
rnacentral:lncRNA from 1 species